CAGAUUGUGAGGGAGAAAUAUCAAUUUCAAAGCAGCUAAGGAGACUUUCUCGAGAGGACUCAGAGUGGUGCCUUGCCCAAGUCCAGGAGCUGCCUGAAUAUAUUUGUCUGAAUGAGGUGUAUAUGGUCCGAAAUGCAGGCUUACUGCUAGACUCACUUUUCUAACUACUGUAUGCAGCUCCAACACUCCCUUGUCAGUUAGAAAUAACACGCUAUGUUGGUUGUGCUGGCCAUAUCAUGAAAGAUGACAGCAGAUUCCUUGAUGCUACCUUUGAUCGACUAAAUACUUGGCUUGUGGCAGAAAUGAAGGUUCUACUGUUAAGGUGCAUCUUGGAAAUGCUUGGCUUAGAUUCUGAUGGAUCUCACCUGACUAGGGUGGGAGAAUGAAUUAUUGAAGAAUUACAAGUGACUAUUGAGGGAACAGAAACUCCAGAGGUGAUGAUAGAGAUUAUGGCAGUGCUAAGAAAAAUAAAUAUCAAGCAAUAUACUCAGUAUAGACAUAAGUAUUAUUUGUAAGCAAUUGGUAGGAUGGCACAAUGCCCACCAUCAUUCACCAGAAAAGAGGAGGUUUGUCGCCAUUUCUCUGAGAAGCUUUCUGCAACUCUGGCUGGCACAUGUCCCUAUAGCCACAACGCUUCUCUCCAAGUUUGGCGAUGACAUAGAGGACGAUUUUGAGGAGUUGGUCGAUGGAAUGUCUGGUUGCUCAACACCUGAAGAUGAAAUGGCAACAGACCCAGUAAUCUGUGCCAAGAAAGUAGCAGCAUUCCUAAGUAUAUCGACAACAGUUCUAAGGUGUCUUGGGCCGCAGGAAGACCCUGCUGUAAAUCCGUCAUUCAUCAAAGAUACUUGAAGCACUGGAAGAGAUGGUGACAGGAGGAAAUAAUGUUGUAGAUGCCAUGGAACAGGCACAGUUCCUGAUCUUUGAGAAGAUUCAUGAAGAGGGCUAUGGUGUGGGAGUGAAGGAUAUACGAUUAACUGUAGAGAUUAUUGUACCAUCAUCACAGGUUGGACUCAUAAUUGGUAAAGGUGGUUAAAAUGUACGUGAUCUACGGCGCCAGACAGGUUCAGUGAUCAAGCUGGCCCAACAAGUAACCACAGCUUCAGAAGAAACAACCGUCCAUAUCUUAGGCCCCUUCUUCUCUAUGCUGUCAGCCCAGUGUUGCAUCAGAGCUAUCAUCUAGAUGUCAACCGCCCCCAGCAGGGGGAGAGGUAUUCCCGGACCCAAAACUUCAUGGUUGCAGUGAGAGCACGACUAGAGAAAUGACAUAAUAACAUGUCAGCACUAUGCCCCAGGCGACAUACCAAAGGGACGGAGAUAUUAGUGCUGUUGACUGGCUGUGUGUGUCGGUGGCCUCAAUCACUUGACCUUGCUUGCUUGCUUGCCUUGGCUCUGGGGUCCAGGCUGGCUGUCCUGCGCUUCACCAACACAUCACAGAUCUCAGAGUAUUAGCAUUGUAGCUUAAUGUAUAUGUAGGGUCUUGUUUUGUUCAUCAUAGACUAUGAGUUUGUUUACAGUGGAUGUGAAAUGCUUCUAGUGGUUGCCUUUAGAAAAAAAAGACAUUCAGGUAAUGCUUUUGUCAUUAUACAAUGAGUGUGAUGUUUUUCUUAUAUAAUGUUUAUGGAAGCGCCAGAAAUAGUGUUUAAAGUUUUGGUAUGGAUAGGAUUUUUUUUCUCUCUCAAGUUUGUUUGUUAUGUUUAGAUUAUGUAUGAGGACUUUAUACUUCCUGGUUCACUUCCUGAAAUUAGUUGUGCAGUACAGGAAAAAUGACAGAUUCAUUUUUUCAGUUCUAUUCUGCAUACA